UCCUCUGUUCAAGGCUCACGUUACGUUUCCAGGGGCUGUUGGGGCCGAAGGCGACGCGCCUGAGUUACAGGAGUGAGGCUGGGAGCAGGAGGAGGGAACUAGUGUCUAUCCCCCCGCGAUGUGAAGGUCGGCAGAGGCCUACUAAGCACUGGAAGCCAGCACAAGGGAAGUCCUGUUUUUCAUAUGGAGUCAACUUGAGGAUGUGAAGAUAACUUGGAGCCCGGGCACCAGGAAGGGAAUCACAGGGGAUCAUCCUCACUCCGGGGACAAAAACAAUGAAUUUUGGGAAAUAUAAGUAGAAAGACAUUUUUGUGAUCCAUUCAUCGAGGGAAGCCCUUGAAGAGCGGUGUUGUUCAUGAAUAUUUGGAUCCUAGUUGACAGAAAACCAACCAGCUUUGCAAGAGAUUGGAUCUUUUGUAGUACUUUAUUUAAAGGAAAGGUCACUAUCGAUAAGUUUUUUGCAUCUUAUGUUUUUGUUUUGUAUGUAACCUAUCGUUCCUAUUAUUCUUACUCACUAUCUCUUAAAUCUUAAUAUUUUAUAAUAAACAUAUGAUUGCUUCA